rnacentral:rRNA from 1 species
GACGAACCGUGCGAACGUUGUUCGGAAUCACUGGGCUUAAAGGGCGCGUAGGCCGGUCGCCGAGUCAGGGGUGAAAUCCUCCAGCUUAACUGGAGAACUGCCUCUGAUACUGGCGAUCUCGAGGGAGGUAGGGGCGUGUGGAACUCUAGGUGGAGCGGUGAAAUGCGUUGAUAUCUAGAGGAACUCCGAUGGCGAAGGCGACACGCUGGACCUUUUCUGACGCUGAGGCGCGAAAGCCAGGGGAGCGAACGGG